rnacentral:rRNA from 1 species
UUAAGCGACUAAGCGUACACGGUGGAUGCCCUGGCAGUCAGAGGCGAUGAAGGACGUGCUAAUCUGCGAUAAGCGUCGGUGAGGUGAUAUGAACCGUUAUAACCGGCGAUUUCCGAAUGGGGAAACCCAGUGUGUUUCGACACACUAUCAUUAACUGAAUCCAUAGGUUAAUGAGGCGAACCGGGGGAACUGAAACAUCUAAGUACCCCGAGGAAAAGAAAUCAACCGAGAUUCCCCCAGUAGCGGCGAGCGAACGGGGAGGAGCCCAGAGCCUGAAUCAGUGUGUGUGUUAGUGGAAGCGUCUGGAAAGGCGUGCGAUACAGGGUGACAGCCCCGUACACAAAAAUGCACAUAUUGUGAGCUCGAUGAGUAGGGCGGGACACGUGGUAUCCUGUCUGAAUAUGGGGGGACCAUCCUCCAAGGCUAAAUACUCCUGACUGACCGAUAGUGAACCAGUACCGUGAGGGAAAGGCGAAAAGAACCCCGGCGAGGGGAGUGAAAAAGAACCUGAAACCGUGUACGUACAAGCAGUGGGAGCCUCUUAAUGGGGUGACUGCGUACCUUUUGUAUAAUGGGUCAGCGACUUAUAUUCUGUAGCAAGGUUAACCGAAUAGGGGAGCCGAAGGGAAACCGAGUCUUAACUGGGCGUUAAGUUGCAGGGUAUAGACCCGAAACCCGGUGAUCUAGCCAUGGGCAGGUUGAAGGUUGGGUAACACUAACUGGAGGACCGAACCGACUAAUGUUGAAAAAUUAGCGGAUGACUUGUGGCUGGGGGUGAAAGGCCAAUCAAACCGGGAGAUAGCUGGUUCUCCCCGAAAGCUAUUUAGGUAGCGCCUCGUGAAUUCAUCUCCGGGGGUAGAGCACUGUUUCGGCAAGGGGGUCAUCCCGACUUACCAACCCGAUGCAAACUGCGAAUACCGGAGAAUGUUAUCACGGGAGACACACGGCGGGUGCUAACGUCCGUCGUGAAGAGGGAAACAACCCAGACCGCCAGCUAAGGUCCCAAAGUCAUGGUUAAGUGGGAAACGAUGUGGGAAGGCCCAGACAGCCAGGAUGUUGGCUUAGAAGCAGCCAUCAUUUAAAGAAAGCGUAAUAGCUCACUGGUCGAGUCGGCCUGCGCGGAAGAUGUAACGGGGCUAAACCAUGCACCGAAGCUGCGGCAGCGACACUAUGUGUUGUUGGGUAGGGGAGCGUUCUGUAAGCCUGUGAAGGUGGCCUGUGAGGGUUGCUGGAGGUAUCAGAAGUGCGAAUGCUGACAUAAGUAACGAUAAAGCGGGUGAAAAGCCCGCUCGCCGGAAGACCAAGGGUUCCUGUCCAACGUUAAUCGGGGCAGGGUGAGUCGACCCCUAAGGCGAGGCCGAAAGGCGUAGUCGAUGGGAAACAGGUUAAUAUUCCUGUACUUGGUGUUACUGCGAAGGGGGGACGGAGAAGGCUAUGUUGGCCGGGCGACGGUUGUCCCGGUUUAAGCGUGUAGGCUGGUUUUCCAGGCAAAUCCGGAAAACCAAGGCUGAGGCGUGAUGACGAGGCACUACGGUGCUGAAGCGACAAAUGCCCUGCUUCCAGGAAAAGCCUCUAAGCAUCAGGUAACAUCAAAUCGUACCCCAAACCGACACAGGUGGUCAGGUAGAGAAUACCAAGGCGCUUGAGAGAACUCGGGUGAAGGAACUAGGCAAAAUGGUGCCGUAACUUCGGGAGAAGGCACGCUGAUAUGUAGGUGAAGCGACUUGCUCGUGGAGCUGAAAUCAGUCGAAGAUACCAGCUGGCUGCAACUGUUUAUUAAAAACACAGCACUGUGCAAACACGAAAGUGGACGUAUACGGUGUGACGCCUGCCCGGUGCCGGAAGGUUAAUUGAUGGGGUUAGCGGCAACGCGAAGCUCUUGAUCGAAGCCCCGGUAAACGGCGGCCGUAACUAUAACGGUCCUAAGGUAGCGAAAUUCCUUGUCGGGUAAGUUCCGACCUGCACGAAUGGCGUAAUGAUGGCCAGGCUGUCUCCACCCGAGACUCAGUGAAAUUGAACUCGCUGUGAAGAUGCAGUGUACCCGCGGCAAGACGGAAAGACCCCGUGAACCUUUACUAUAGCUUGACACUGAACAUUGAGCCUUGAUGUGUAGGAUAGGUGGGAGGCUUUGAAGUGUGGACGCCAGUCUGCAUGGAGCCGACCUUGAAAUACCACCCUUUAAUGUUUGAUGUUCUAACGUUGGCCCGUAAUCCGGGUUGCGGACAGUGUCUGGUGGGUAGUUUGACUGGGGCGGUCUCCUCCUAAAGAGUAACGGAGGAGCACGAAGGUUGGCUAAUCCUGGUCGGACAUCAGGAGGUUAGUGCAAUGGCAUAAGCCAGCUUGACUGCGAGCGUGACGGCGCGAGCAGGUGCGAAAGCAGGUCAUAGUGAUCCGGUGGUUCUGAAUGGAAGGGCCAUCGCUCAACGGAUAAAAGGUACUCCGGGGAUAACAGGCUGAUACCGCCCAAGAGUUCAUAUCGACGGCGGUGUUUGGCACCUCGAUGUCGGCUCAUCACAUCCUGGGGCUGAAGUAGGUCCCAAGGGUAUGGCUGUUCGCCAUUUAAAGUGGUACGCGAGCUGGGUUUAGAACGUCGUGAGACAGUUCGGUCCCUAUCUGCCGUGGGCGCUGGAGAACUGAGGGGGGCUGUUCCUAGUACGAGAGGACCGGAGUGGACGCAUCACUGGUGUUCGGGUUGUCAUGCCAAUGGCACUGCCCGGUAGCUAAAUGCGGAAGAGAUAAGUGCUGAAAGCAUCUAAGCACGAAACUUGCCCCGAGAUGAGUUCUCCCUGACUCCUUGAGGGUCCUGAAGGAACGUUGAAGACGACGACGUUGAUAGGCCGGGUGUGUAAGCGCAGCGAUGCGUUGAGCUAACCGGUACUAAUGAACCGUGAGGCUUAACCUU